CCGCGAAGCGGGUUUGCGAAGUGGCAACCUGAUGGAGCUGGAGGAGCUGCCGUUUCCCGCGAGCCCUGCUGGGUGUGAAACCCGCUCCCCCACCCGCGCCCUCUCCGCUGCCGCCACGCUGGCUGCAAACAGCCCGUUUUACAGAUUUAACCUCCUUACUUCCUGGACCGGUUGACACAAGUAAGGGGACAGCUGAAGACUGCUUGAAGAGGCUGUAACUGAGCUGCACCUUCCCUCUGUUUGCAACUUUGAAAGAGGAAUGUGGACUCUGUAGAAAUGCGAUAAUUUCUGCUGUACAAAGAAGCUCUUCCUUAAACACCUAAAGUCCUGGUUCGUUCAGUAUGAGCUCUGCUUUCGUCACUUUUUAUUCCAAAUAUUUUCAGUAUUACUCAAGGUCACACGUUUUGGUGCAAAAAGUACGAAUGUCAUCUCCUGCACGCUGAAAAUGCAGAUGAACCUGCAAGCAAGGCUGAGCUGAAUGGAAAAACGAGGUUUCAUAACAGCGCAAGUCUUCUUGAGCAUAAAAUACUUGAGGGCUUCAAAAGGGAAGGAAGACAUUCCCGUAUGCCAGGCUUUGAAGGUCACAAUGUCCCGAUCUGGAGAAUGGAGAAUGAACGAAGAGUGUGUUCAGGUUCUGCCAGAAAACUGAAGAAAAUAACAGUUAUGUACGCUCCAGACUUCACAAAGAGUAAGCAAUAUAGCUUCUAGAAGAAAGUAGGAGGUCCAGAAUUUGGCCUUCUGGCUUCAUAAAGUUGAGGUUAUGUUUUCUAUGAGCAGAAACUCUUCAUCAGGUUGCAGAACUGUCCAAGUAGAAGUCUCUUUCAUCUGCCCAUGGCACCCUGGCUCUUACCUGAAGAUUUCUAGUCAUGAUAGAAGACAAAAGGAAACUGAUACCUCAACCCCCCAGCCCAAGGGAGCUGCUUUACACUAACACUCGUGUGCUUGGACCCUGUCUGAGCUACAGCCCUUCCGUGUUAGUCCUACGUGUGCCUUAUCACAGGCCCCCGCUGAUCUAGAUCCCAACAGUAUUGAGCUUUUAUAAGUAGAGAAAGAGAGGAAUUUGUCAUAAGUCUAGGAUAGUGCAUCCAGGUUUGGAACCUCAGUGAAAGAAAAACAUCAACAAACUGGAGCGAAUCCAUCAGAGACUUCCAGGAUGCUUCGGGAUGGAUCAUUUGGCCAGGUAGAGCUAGGGAUUGUUCAUCCUGGAAAAAGGAUUACUUCAGAGAGAAAUAACAGCAGCCCCCAGUACCAGCGGGGAGGUCAAGAAGACAGAGCCCAGCUCUUCACAGCGGUACAAGGAGAUGGGGCCAAGAGACAACUGGCACAAGCUGAAACGAGAGAGGUUCAGACAGGAUGUAAGGAGAAACUUUUUCCCAUGAGGACAGCCAGGCAGUGGAGCAGGUUGCCCAGGGAGAUUGUGCCAGCUCCAUCCUUGGAGGUUUUCAAGAGCCAAGUGGAUAAAGACCUGAGCAACCCGGACUGUCCCCAUAUUUGACCCUGCUUUGAGCAGGAGGUUGGGCUAGAGACCUCCUGAGGUCCCUUCCAACUUGAGUUAUUCCAAGAUUCCACGAUUCUAAAUUAUUAUUAAUCAUACAUUUUUGUAUUAGGAGCAACCACAAAUGGGUCUGUGCUAAACGGAGCCCAGCAUAAACAUAGCAUGACAGAUAGUUGCUUUUUGAUUGCCUUCUUUAUUGCUUGACCUCCCCUUGGCUUCUCCCGCACUUUAAUGGAAUAUUAUAUUUCUCAAGUACGAAAUGUUCCUGUCAUAAUAGCGCAUGACAAGAAUUGCCUUUAUAUAUGCCUUUAAAUAAUGUCUUUAAUGUAUAUAUGGCUUUAAAUAAUUGCCUUUAAUACAUGCCUUUAAAAAUUAAGGAAAAAGGUAAAUUUUGUUAUUGAAAAUAAACUACUUAAAACCUACUAUUAGAGGGCUUAUCGUAGAUUAUUUCUGGAGGAGUCUUGCUUUCAUACUGUCCAGUGCAGUGUUCCGUUUAUCUGAAAAGCGAUAUUUGUUUAAUGGACCAAAAAUACAGCUUAUGUGUUUGAUAUAUACAGCAAGACAAAUCCUUAGCAGCAUAAAUCAAUGUGACUUCUCUGAAAUCAGUAGAGGUGUAUUAGUAUGUCAGAAACUGAUGUGACCGUUACAUACCAUCUUUGCAUGUGUAUGUAAGGCCAAAUCCAAACUUGUCCACCCACAAAAUCUCAUUUAAGGCCUCAUUUCACUGAGGUAUUUUAAUAGUUGCCAAAAUUUAAGUAUGUCAUUCUGUUGAUAGUAAAAGGAUCCAUCCUGUCUUUAAGCAGGCUGCUGAAUCAUGACCUUAGGAUAAGGAAAACAAGUGAGGGAUAUAAAAAGGAUAGUUUUAAAUACUGGAAUCUGCCUAACAGCCUAUUAUAGUGUUCUGAAAUGCAUAUGCUCCUUUUUUUGCAAAAACAAAGAAAAAAAACAAAAGAUCAUAAUUUCUCCGCAGGGCUCCCGGUAAAGGAUUUGCAGAGUCAGCGAAUUCCUCUAGUACUUGCUUUACGGUGCAGUACCUUUGCUUUUCAGUUGCUUUCCCUGUAACAAUAGACCUGUUCUUUGUCGCUUGACCUCCCCUGUUUCUCCCUUUACAAACUGCUCCUUUUAGAAAAGCCCUUCUGCUCAAAAGAUUGUCGAGUGCUGUAGUUUCUAUUUUCAGCUUCCAGUUAAAAACUCUCUGUUAUUUUCACAAACGGCCCUUCUUUCUUGUGACUUAUGCACUGCACAAAGGGUAUCUAAUUCCUGUCACAAGAAUCCUGGUAAAAACACUCAUCAGAUUAGGCGAUUUGAAUAUAAGAAAAAAUCCUACCAAAUUUUAGAUUGCAUUUGGAUCAAUAUGCCUGAUGAAAUGAAGAGCAACAAUAUACCAGAAACGCUUAAAAAAUAAACACGGGGGAAGGCUUGCUGCAGUAGUAGAAUAUAUCCUUUUUGCACAGUCCCUGUGGCACAGACCAGCCUGCUGAGUAAAGACCAUCACAGGAGGAUUUCAGUGUGAUCCAGCAACACGGUCAGUAGCUGAAUGCAGUAACACUAUGAGAAAGAUCAUUGUAAGAGACCAAGCAACCCUGAUGUGCAAACAUGGACAGAGAUAUAAUGAAACAUAAGGAAAAUAUGCCUUUGUAAGAACAGGCAUACACACACAUUGUUGGAGAGAACAGUUGAACCAAGCACUGAAACCAUCCUGUUAUUCCGUAGGUGUUUAUUUGCAUUUGAAAAUGACUCUGUCAGAGUAUUAAUACUCUUUUAUACGCAAGAAAAUAAAUCAAUUUAGUGGUCUUGUGUGGCCCGCAAGUCAUUCUUGCUCAGUCACCUUGCUUAGUUGGUCAUUCAGGUUUGACACCACGGAACUAUUGGAAUCUGUCCCAAAAAUAUGCUUUGACAAAA